GAUGAACGCUGGCGGCGUGCCUAACACAUGCAAGUCGAACGGACAUUUUUUGGAAAGCUCUUCGGAACUGGAAUCUAAAUGUUAGUGGCGGACGGGUGAGUAACGCGUGAGCAAUCUGCCUUUCAGGGGGGAGUAACAGCCGGAAACGGCUGCUAAUACCGCAUAAUGCAUCGGAUUCGCGUGUUUCUGAUGCCAAAGAUUUUAUCGCUGAAAGAUGAGCUCGCGUCUGAUUAGCUAGUUGGCGGGUAACGCCCACCAAGGCGACGAUCAGUAGCCGGACUGAGAGGUUGAACGGCCACAUUGGGACUGAGACACGGCCCAG
rnacentral:rRNA from 1 species